UUUUUUUUUUAACAAACAUCCCCCUCAAGAUGUACAGCCCACUACUUUUAUCCAUAUGAAAGUUAAAAAAGUUUCAUAUGGAUAAAAGUAGUGGGCUGUACAUCUUGAGGGGGAUGUUUGUUAAAAAAAA